rnacentral:lncRNA from 1 species
AAGCUGCCGUCUUCUUCCCAAACUUCUCAAGAAACCACUGCCAGAACGGGAUGCUCACUGCUGCCGACAUCUGCACAGAUAUUGGUACUCACCAAAAUGGUCAAAACAAUGUUCUGAAAGUGAUCUCUCAGCUCCACCGCGUAUGUGCAGAACAACACGAAGUUACUCUGAAUCAGCUGCAAAAAGAGGAUAAACAACUGGAAGCAAACAAGCAGCACAGAGAGAGAAGGGAGGUAAAGAGAGCGGCCAAUUCUGGCACAGUCCAGAUGGCACCACUGCAGCGUGGAGCAAGCCCUGUGUGCCCUGAUGAUUGUUUACACACACAAAGGAGAGACUGCAGGACUGAUGGCUUACUGUGUGAAUAGAUAGAGUGCUGUAAGGUGCUGAAUGAGCUGAGAUUUGACCUGAUAUUUCAACUGUAGUGGAAGUAACAAGGGGGAAAUAAUUGCAUGUGUAUAACGUCUGAUAACAUUAGUAAAAAUAUUUUCUUAUUUUAUAUGUACACAUAAUCU